UACAGAGGUCCCAAGCGUUGUUCGGAUUCAUUGGGCGUAAAGGGUGCGUAGGCGGCGCGGUAAGUCGGGUGUGAAAUCUCGGGGCUUAACUCCGAAACUGCAUUCGAUACUGUCGUGCUUGAGGACUGGAGAGGAGACUGGAAUUCACGGUGUAGCAGUGAAAUGCGUAGAUAUCGUGAGGAAGACCGGUGGCGAAGGCGGGUCUCUGGGCAGUAACUGACGCUGAGGAGCGAAAGCGUGGGGAGCGAACAGG
rnacentral:rRNA from 1 species